UAUAUAUAUGAGAUAUUAUUCGCUUUGAUCUCGGCCGCUGUAGCAUGGGGCCUCAUGGUUGUGCCCUUCAAAAGAUACCCAUAGGGAAGAGAAGAUCCUAUCGUAUAUAAAUCAGAGUCUUUCUUGACUCACAAUCAAUGUUGGACAAAUGAUAUCCUCUCUCCUAUAUUACAAUAUAGCCCCCCAGUCAAUGGAGACUUUGAACAAGGUUGCGGGAGGUGCACCAUAGUAUGUCUGAGGC
rnacentral:lncRNA from 1 species